AUUGAACGCUGGCGGCAGGCCUAACACAUGCAAGUCGAACGAGUGGCGGACGGGUGAGUAAUGUCUGGGAAACUGCCUGAUGGAGGGGGAUAACUACUGGAAACGGUAGCUAAUACCGCAUACCAUCGGAUGUGCCCAGAUGGGAUUAGCUAGUAGGUGGGGUAAAGGCUCACCUAGGCGACGAUCCCUAGCUGGUCUGAGAGGAUGACCGGCCACACUGGGACUGAGACACGGUCCAGACUCCUACGGGAGGCAGCAGGAGGGAAUAUUGGGCAAUGGGCGCAAGCCUGAUGCAGCCACGCCGCGUGUGUGAAGAAGGCCUUCGGGUUGUAAAGUACUUUUGUCAGGGAAGCGUUACCCACACAGGAAGCACCGGCUAACUCCGUGCCAGCAGCCGCGGUAAUAC
rnacentral:rRNA from 1 species